GAUGAACGCUGGCGGUGUGCCUAAUACAUGCAAGUCGAGCGAACAGACGAGGAGCUUACUCCUCUGACGUUAGCGGCGGACGGGUGAGUAACACGUGGAUAACCUACCUAUAAGACUGGGAUAACUUCGGGAAACCGGAGCUAAUACCGGAUAACAUGUUGAACCGCAUGGUUCAACAGUGAAAGACGGUCUUGCUGUCACUUAUAGAUGGAUCCGCGUCGCAUUAGCUAGUUGGUAAGGUAACGGCUUACCAAGGCAACGAUGCGUAGCCGACCUGAGAGGGGGAUCGGCCACACUGGAACGGAGACACGGUCAAGACGCCUACGGGAGGCAGCAGUAGGGAAUCUUCGGCAAUGGGCGAAAGCCUGACGGAGCAAGGCCGCGUGAGUGAAGAAGGUCUUCGGAUCGUAAAACUCUGUUAUUAGGGAAGAACAAAUGUGUAAGUAACUAUGCACGUCUUGACGGUACCUAAUCAGAAAGCCACGGCUAACUACGUG
rnacentral:rRNA from 1 species